rnacentral:sRNA from 1 species
CACCGCCUGGGGAGUACGACCGCAAGGUUAAAACUCAAAUGAAUUGACGGGGACCCGCACAAGUAGUGGAGCAUGUGGUUUAAUUCGAAGAUACGCGCAGAACCUUACCAACACUUGACAUGUUCGUCGCGACUUUAAGAGAUUAAAGUUUUCGGUUCGGCCGGACGAAACACAGGUGCUGCAUGGCUGUCGUCAGCUCGUGUCGUGAGAUGUUGGGUUAAGUCCCGCAACGAGCGCAACCCUCACUUUUAGUUGCCAUCAUUUAGUUGGGCACUCUGAAAGAACUGCCAGUGAUAAGCUGGAGGAAGGUGGGGAUGACGUCAAGUCCUCAUGGCCCUUACGUGUUGGGCUACACACGUGCUACAAUGGCAUUUACAAUAGGAAGCAAGAUGGCGACGUCAAGCAAAUCCUAAAAAGAUGCCUCAGUUCGGAUUGUACUCUGCAACUCGAGUACAUGAAGCUGGAAUUACUAGUAAUCGCGGAUCAGCGCGCCGCGGUGAAUACGUUCCCGGGUCUUGUACACACCGCCCGUCACACCAUGGGAGUUGGUUCUACCUUAAGGCAAGGUUUCAAACCCUUGACCACGGUAUAGUCAGCGACUGGGGUGAAGUCGUAACAAGGUAGCCGUAGGGGAACCUGCGGCUGGAUUACCUCCUUUCUAAGGAUGAUUAAAAAACACGAUUUUUAAUCUAAAUAAUAUAACAGGAUAAUGUUGACCGUCCUCAUUUCUCUUCUUAAAAAAAGUGUUACACUCUUCUGCGAUAAGGGCCGGUAGCUCAGUUGGUUAGAGCACACCCUUGAUAAGGGUGGGGUCGAAAGUUCGAGUCUUUCUCGGCCCACCAUUAUAUAAGUACUGGGGGAUUAGCUCAGCUGGGAGAGCGCCUGAUUUGCAUUCAGGAGGUCAGCGGUUCGAUCCCGCUAUCCUCCACCAAGAGACACUUAGUUAUUUAAUUUGUGAAUAUUUUUUAUUAUUAUCAAUAUCUAUAUCCGAUUGUUCGAAUAGAUGAACAAUCAAAGAAUGUUCGAAUAGAUGAACAUUCCAACAAAAUUUGAUUCAACACAGAAUUUUUUUCUG